CUUGCUCCUGGAUUCAGCGGCGGACGGGUGAGUCCUCGCCUAGGAAUCUGCCUGGUAGUGGGGGAUAACGUCCGGAAACGGGCGCUAAUACCGCAUACGUCCUGAGGGAGAAAGUGGGGGAUCUUCGGACCUCCGCUAUCCGAUGAGCCUAGGUCGGAUUAGCUAGUUGGUGGGGUAAGGCCUACCAAGGCGACGAUCCGUAACUGGUCUGAGAGGAUGAUCGUCCCCUGG
rnacentral:rRNA from 1 species